GCACGCUGUGCGCUAUGUGUAUAUCAAGAUCAACAGGUGCUGGCUUCUACGCGCCGCGCAUAAGUCGCGGCCAUCAGUUGUCAUCGAUCAACGAUAUUAUUUGACACACGGUGCCCCCGCUGCUGUAAGAUUGAGACAAUUCCGCGAUGUUAAUCGCGGCUGUAACUUCACCGGCCGUUUCAAUCAACGACGACGACGGUGAGACGCGCGACAAGCGAAGAAACGAAGGCGAAUCGCGGCAUCGCGAGUAAACUCGAUAAUUCAUCAUCUAUAGUUUCCCUUCGCCACACGACACACGAGUUUCAACUUGAAUGUAUGUCGACUAUCGUCGAUAAUAUCAGGCAUAUGUAAUUUCAUUGAAUAAUAAAUGCGAAUACUUGUAAACCUA